UACGUAGGGUGCAAGCGUUAAUCGGAAUUACUGGGCGUAAAGCGUGCGCAGGCGGUUGUGCAAGACAGAUGUGAAAUCCCCGGGCUUAACCUGGGAACUGCAUUUGUGACUGCACGGCUAGAGUGUGUCAGAGGGGGGUAGAAUUCCGCGUGUAGCAGUGAAAUGCGUAGAUAUGUGGAGGAAUACCGAUGGCGAAGGCAGCCCCCUGGGAUAACACUGACGCUCAUGCACGAAAGCGUGGGGAGCAAACAGG
rnacentral:rRNA from 1 species